CCUACGGGAGGCAGCAGUGGGGAAUCUUAGACAAUGGGGGAAACCCUGAUCUAGCGAUGCCGCGUGUGUGACGAAGGCCUUAGGGUCGUAAAGCACUUUCGCCAGGGAUGAUAAUGACAGUACCUGGUAAAGAAACCCCGGCUAACUCCGUGCCAGCAGCCGCGGUAAUACGGAGGGGGUUAGCGUUGUUCGGAAUUACUGGGCGUAAAGCGCACGUAGGCGGACUAUUAAGUUAGAGGUGAAAUCCCGGGGCUCAACCCCGGAACUGCCUUUAAUACUGGUAGUCUUGAGUUCGAGAGAGGUGAGUGGAAUUCCAAGUGUAGAGGUGAAAUUCGUAGAUAUUUGGAGGAACACCAGUGGCGAAGGCGGCUCACUGGCUCGAUACUGACGCUGAGGUGCGAAAGCGUGGGGAGCAAACAGGAUUAGAUACCCUAGUAGUC
rnacentral:rRNA from 1 species